UAGUAACGGCGAGUGAAGCGGGAUGAGCUCAAGCUUAAAAUCUCCGUACCAUUAUGGUAUGGCGAGUUGUAGCCUAUAGAAACGUGGUUCACUCGGACCUCGGGGAAAGUUCCUUGGAAAAGGACAGCAUGGAGGGUGAUACUCCCGUUUAUCCCUGAGAGUACCUUGUAGUAUGGCCCGUUUUCUUUGAGUCGCGUUGUUUGAGAAUGCAGCGCAAAGCGGGUGGUAAAUUCCAUCUAAAGCUAAAUAUUGGUGCGAGACCGAUAGCAAACAAGUACCGUGAGGGAAAGAUGAAAAGAACUUUGAAAAGAGAGUUAAAGAGUACCUGAAACUGCUGAAAGGGAACCGAAUCGUUUCCAGUGUCUAUAAUCCGUGGUAUAUUUCAUUGGCGAGUGUAUGCGUGCGUGUGUUGUGGCAGCGGCCUUUUUUGGCUGCGCUCGGCACGUGUGCUGCGUGUGCUCGUUGAUGCCCUGUGCUGCGGUGAGACGUUAACGUCAAUUCGUAAACUGCGAGAAAUGGCCGCCGAGGAGGUAGGGCUUACGCAUGCGUUUGCCUAUUAUAGCUUGGCGGUGUAUGAGUUGUCGCGGUUGGGAUUGAGGUGCCUACAACGUGCUUUUGAGUGGGUUUGUGUCUCUGUGUGCGCCGUGUGCGKAUAGCUUGCUAUGCGUGUGUGGUUGUGUGUGGAUUGAUAUA
rnacentral:rRNA from 1 species